GGGGGAUAACAGCCAGAAAUGACUGCUAAUACCGCAUAAGCGCACAGAACCGCAUGGUUCGGUGUGAAAAACUCCGGUGGUAUAAGAUGGACCCGCGUUGGAUUAGCUAGUUGGCAGGGCAGCGGCCUACCAAGGCGACGAUCCAUAGCCGGCCUGAGAGGGUGAACGGCCACAUUGGGACUGAGACGCGGCCCAGACUCCUACGGGAGGCAGCAGUGGGGAAUAUUGCACAAUGGGGGAAACCCUGAUGCAGCGACGCCGCGUGAAGGAAGAAGUAUCUCGGUAUGUAAACUUCUAUCAGCAGGGAAGAUAAUGACGGUACCUGACUAAGAAGCCCCGGCUAACUACGUGCCAGCAGCCGCGGUAAUACGUAGGGGGCAAGCGUUAUCCGGAUUUACUGGGUGUAAAGGGAGCGUAGACGGCGCAGCA
rnacentral:rRNA from 1 species